CUCAGGAUCAAAGUUUGCUCCCCACUGUGACAACUUUUUUCAAACACAGCUUUCCUCUUAAGUGCGUUGUUUUCACCACUCUGCUGUUUGGCCUAUUUUUUUAUUUUUUUUUCUGUUUGGUCUUGUCGAGGAUUCAGAUUUAAAUAUUCAGGUAAAGUCUCAUGAUACUGUAUCUGGGUUAAAAAGGGGGCCAAAGGUGCUGAAGUGUUUGUAGUAAAUAUUAUGUAACACCUUCCCUGACAGCUCAUUUUGCUGCAUGAUGUGCUGAAAUCUGUGGGAAAAAGUAAUCUGAAGACCUUGAGAUUUUUCAUUAUUUUUUAAAUGACUCCUCACUCCUCCACUUUUACUCACUAUUAGGUUUGAUAUUAUGAAUCAACAUAAAGAAAGAUGUUAGGUUACUCUUUUAUUUCUCUUUUUCUGGUACGAGGGAUUAAUGAUGUUGUUUGGUUGAAUAUUUGCUUAAAAAAUUGAUCACUGUGCUGAAAAUAAAAAACACAGUUGCCAAAACCA
rnacentral:lncRNA from 1 species